CAUUGUUGGAGAGUUUGAUCCUGGCUCAGGACGAACGCUGGCGGCGUGCUUAACACAUGCAAGUCGAACGAUGAAGCCUUUCGGGGUGGAUUAGUGGCGAACGGGUGAGUAACACGUGGGCAAUCUGCCCUGUACUUUGGGAUAAGCCUGGGAAACUGGGUCUAAUACCGGAUAUGACCGAGCCUCGCAUGGGGUUUGGUGGAAAGCUCCGGCGGUACGGGAUGAGCCCGCGGCCUAUCAGCUUGUUGGUGGGGUAA
rnacentral:rRNA from 1 species